CCUACGGGGGGCAGCAGUGGGGAAUAUUGGACAAUGGGCGAAAGCCUGAUCCAGCAACGCCGCGUGAGGGAUGACGGCCUUCGGGUUGUAAAGCACUUUAAGUGGGGAGGAAUGGCUCUUGGUUAAUAACCUUGAGCAGUGACGUUACCCACAGAAUAAGCACCGGCUAACUCUGUGCCAGCAGCCGCGGUAAU
rnacentral:rRNA from 1 species